rnacentral:lncRNA from 1 species
GCAAGUCUCUCUCAGCGAACCUCUCUGCACUGCUUAUCAUCAUUUUCAUCAAAGUCUAUUCACUGCGUGUUUGGUGUCCGAGGGGGCAGCAGCCUUGGUACUGGAAAUGCAAAAGAAAACAUGGAAGAAUACGAUGACAGAAGAGGAUCUAAAAAUGACUGGUGCAGACAAGCAUGUGCAAAUGGAGAAUCAAGAGCUCUGACUUUUUGGGUACAGCUUAUUUCUGAGAAGCAAAAAGGGAAGCGAGCAGAGAGAGACUCUCAGUGACCAUGAUCACCUCAACAGCUGGCAGAUACGGGCAGCUCUACGCCUGCUUCCCCUAAAAAUCAUGGCUCCCUGUGGAGCGAAGGGAUGAAAACAGUUGUCCAGCCCACAGUAAGGCCAAAGGUAUUUAUCCUAAGCAAAAAGAAUGCAAAAUAAAGAAGAGUUCGUGUAAUCUAAGAAGAAUAUAAAAUAAAGAACAGUGUGGUUCCAAACACUGAAACUGGAGAUAGUGUGACCUUCAGGAGGGGGAAGAAGUUGGCCAACUGCUGCUUACGGCGAGGGGAUGUUUAUUACCCAGCUAUUGUAAAUGAUGGUUAUAUGACUGCAGCACUUAAAGAGCCAUACAAGAUAAAGUUAAUUGAAGAAAUAAGAUAGACGCAUGUACAAGCCUUUACAAUUGUGUUAACCAAAAGCCACAUUAUGUAAAAUGUGGAUGAAGUCUGAAGAUCACACCACUGUCAGUUUCCUAGUCCUGAGUGAGUCUGGGAGACAUACAAUGCACCAGACAGAGAGGGAGAAUACAGAAGAGGAAAGCUUACAGGGACCUGAAGAGGCUGCCGUCCUUCUGCCACGCUGACUGCUGUACCCAAACAGGGAACGAUUGCACUGCACACAAGGGCCAGAGCACGAGAGGGAGAAAACAGGUUCUGGGUCAGAACAGUGGGACCAAGCGGGCGCGGUCAAAGAAGAGGAGUAAAGACCUCCUGUAGGCAUGGGCUGAGAAAGAAACAGCGAUAAAUUCAUUGUUGAGGGAUUCAAAGUGCAGGUGGGACAUUGGUAAGGGACACAGUGGGCCUUGAAUACUAAGCAAAAAGUUUGCGCUUUAUAUAGAGAUAAAUGUGUAGUUUAAAAAAUUGAAUUGUACCAGAGGACUUUUUCUUAAGAAGCAACUGAAUUAAGCUCUGUCCUUCCCCACAGCCUUUUCAAACCCUAGAGUAGAGGAAUUAUUUUUAACCAUUUGUCUAGCGUCUUUUACAGAGUACCCUCACAGCCUGAAAAAGUACCUAUGUAGUUGUU